CUGGGAAUGCUUGUUGGGGGAGAUAGAAUAUGAGCUGGAUAUGAAAGAAUGAGGAGUAGAUAAGCUUCUGGCUUGGUGACUACUCAGCUUCCCCAUCACCCCCACCUGUAGUAGAGACCACUCUGGGCCAGUAACCAUGGCGAUAGGAGAAGACGUGAGCAGAUGGGAGCACUAUGUGCAGAACUUAAACAUCCUUGUGUUGGGGGGAGAAAUGUUGAUUGCAAACACAAGUGCAUGUGAGCGUAGAGGG